rnacentral:rRNA from 1 species
UACGUAGGGUGCAAGCGUUGUCCGGAAUUAUUGGGCGUAAAGAGCUCGUAGGCGGUUCGUCGCGUCGGCUGUGAAAAUCCCGAGGCUCAACCUCGGGUCUGCAGUCGAUACGGGCGGACUGGAGUUCGGCAGGGGAGACUGGAAUUCCUGGUGUAGCGGUGAAAUGCGCAGAUAUCAGGAGGAACACCGGUGGCGAAGGCGGGUCUCUGGGCAGUAACUGACGCUGAGGAGCGAAAGCGUGGGGAGCGAACAGG